rnacentral:rRNA from 1 species
CAGCCGCCGCGGGAAUACGGAGGGUGCAAGCGUUAUCCGGAUUUAUUGGGUUUAAAGGGUCCGUAGGCGGACUUAUAAGUCAGUGGUGAAAGCCUGUCGCUUAACGAUAGAACUGCCAUUGAUACUGUAAGUCUUGAGUAUAUUUGAGGUAGCUGGAAUAAGUAGUGUAGCGGUGAAAUGCAUAGAUAUUACUUAGAACACCAAUUGCGAAGGCAGGUUACCAAGAUAUAACUGACGCUGAGGGACGAAAGCGUGGGUAGCGAACAGGAUUAGAUACCCCCGUAGUCCCUGUCUCUUAUAU